CCGGUAAGGAGUGCUGGAGCGGUAUGAAGUGAGCAUGCAGGAAUGAGUAACGAUAAGAUAUAUGAGAAUUGUAUCCGCCGUAAAUCUAAGGUUUCCUACGCGAUGGUCGUCAUCGUAGGGUUAGUCGGGUCCUAAGCCGAGUCCGAAAGGGGUAGGUGAUGGCAAAUUGGUUAAUAUUCCAAUACCGACUAUGGAGCGUGAUGGGGGGACGCAUAGGGUUAAGCGAGCUAGCUGAUGGAAGUGCUAGUCUAAGGGCGUAGAUUGGAGGGAAGGCAAAUCCACCUCUGUAUUUGAAACCCAAACAGGCUCGUUGAGUCCUUUUAGGACAAAGGGAGAAUCGCUGAUACCGUCGUGCCAAGAAAAGCCUCUAAGUAUAUCCAUAGUCGUCCGUACCGCAAACCGACACAGGUAGAUGAGAUGAGUAUUCUAAGGCGCGUGAAAGAACUCUGGUUAAGGAACUCUGCAAACUAGCACCGUAAGUUCGCGAUAAGGUGUGCCGCAGCAAUGCGGUCUCAGCAAAGAGUCCCUCCCGACUGUUUACCAAAAACACAGCACUUUGCCAACUCGUAAGAG
rnacentral:rRNA from 1 species